rnacentral:rRNA from 1 species
GAUGAAUGCUGGCGGCGUGCCUAACACAUGCAAGUCGAGCGGUAAGGCCCUUCGGGGUACACGAGCGGCGGACGGCUGAGUAACGCGUGGGAAUUUGCCCCAAAGUGAGGAAUAACUGCCCGAAAGGGUAGCUAAUGCCGCAUAUGGUCUUCGGAUUAAAGGAUUUAUCCGCUUUGGGAGAAGCCCGCGUUGGAUUAGGUAGUUGGUGAGAUAAAAGCUCACCAAGCCAACGAUCCAUAGCUGGUCUGAGAGGAUGACCAGCCAGACUGGAACUGAGACACGGUCCAGACUCCUACGGGAGGCAGCAGUGAGGAAUCUUCCACAAUGGGCGAAAGCCUGAUGGAGCAACGCCGCGUGCAGGAUGAAGGCCUUCGGGUUGUAAACUGCUUUUAUGAGUGAAGAAUAUGACGGUAACUCAUGAAUAAGCACCGGCUAACUACGUGCCAGCAGCCGCAAUAAGAC